CCCUUAGAUGUCCUGGGCCGCACGCGCGCUACACUGACAUGUUCAACAAGCCUCCUAGUUCGACAGGAUUUGGGAAAUCUUUGAACGCAUGUCGUGAUAGGGAUAGAUCAUUGCAAUUAUUGAUCUUGAACGAGGAAUUCCUAGUAAACGCGAGUCAUCAGCUCGCAUUGAUUACGUCCCUGCCCUUUGUACACACCGCCCGUCGCUCCUACCGAUUGAGUGAGCCGAUGAAACUGCCGGAUGUGGACUAUUCAUAGUCUGCAGAAGAUAUUUGAAUCGUAGCGCUUAGAGGAAGGAGAAGUCGUAACA
rnacentral:rRNA from 1 species